GACGAACGCUGGCGGCGUGCCUAAUACAUGCAAGUAGAACGCUGAAGGAGGAGCUUGCUCUUCUGGAUGAGUUGCGAACGGGUGAGUAACGCGUAGGUAACCUGCCUGGUAGCGGGGGAUAACUAUUGGAAACGAUAGCUAAUACCGCAUAACAGUAGAUGUUGCAUGACAUUUGCUUAAAAGGUGCAAUUGCACCACUACCAGAUGGACCUGCGUUGUAUUAGCUAGUUGGUGGGGUAACGGCUCACCAAGGCGACGAUACAUAGCCGACCUGAGAGGGUGAUCGGCCAACCUGGGACUUAGACACGGCCCAGACUCCUACGGGAGGCAGCAGUAGGGAAUCUUCGGCAAUGGACGGAAGUCUGACCGAGCAACGCCGCGGGAGUGAAGAAGGGUUUCGGAUCGUAAAGCUCUGUUGUAAGAGAAGAACGAGUGUGAGAGUGGAAAGUUCACACUGUGACGGUAUCUUACCAGAAAGGGACGGCUAACUACGUG
rnacentral:rRNA from 1 species